GCUCUGUCUAUAGCUGGAUAAAUCAUAGAAAACAUGGCUAGCAUCUGGGUCACUAGGCAAGCUAGCUUAAGUAGGUGGAAGGCAUGGCAACUUCCUACCAAUCGUAUAGCAAUAAGGAAGAGCAAACGGCUGACCUCCAGUC